UACGUAGGGUGCAAGCGUUGUCCGGAAUUAUUGGGCGUAAAGAGCUCGUAGGUGGUUUGUCGCGUUGUUCGUGAAAUCUCACGGCUUAACUGUGAGCGUGCGGGCGAUACGGGCAGACUGGAGUACUGCAGGGGGAGACUGGAAUUCCUGGUGUAGCGGGUGGAAAUGCGCAGAUAUCAGGAGGGAAACACCCGGUGGGCGAAAGGCGGG
rnacentral:rRNA from 1 species